UAUGAUUCAAUGACUGACUCUGUGAAUCAUUGAAUCAUAAUAUUGAAUCAUUGAAUCAUAGAGUGAGUCAUUGAAUCAUA